AUGACAUCAUCAUUUACUUGUGGCGCUAUGUACUAGCAGGCCCAUGACUAGUAUUUAUUAGCAGGUACUAACAUUAUUACUAGUAUUUAUUAGCAGGUAAUAACAUUAUUACUAGUAUUUAUUAGCAGGUAAUAACAUUAUUACUAGUAUUUAUUAGCAGGUAAUAACAUUAUUACUAGUAUUUAUUAGCAGGUAAUAACAUUAUUACUAGUAUUUAUUAGCAGGUAAUAACAUUAUUACUAGUAUUUAUUAGCAGGUAAUAACAUUAUUACUAGUAUUUAUUAGCAGGUAAUAACAUUAUUACUAGUAUUUAUUAGCAGGUAUUAGCACUACUACUAGUAUUAACGGGUAAUAUCACUAUAACUAGUAUUUAUUACUACUAAUGUUGUGAUCCAGUUAGUCGUGUUGUGUCUUGAAGUGUGGUUAUUUCUACUUCCUGAACAAAUGUGAUCAUGUUGAGUGCAAUUGAGUUGAAAUGUUCCAACUGAUGUUCGUGUCCAUGAAAAUAGUAAGAAUAUGAAAAUGAAAUGACAGAAUGUUCUUCAUGUCAUUGAUGUUCUUUAUUUGCUGGCAUCAUCUGCAAGUACACUUGUCAGUUUGCACCAACGUGUCCCCAAUCACACGUACUACAGUUGUGGAGACAUGUCAUCUUGGAUGUAGAACCAUCCACAUCUUCUAUGCAUAGUACACUGUACAUACAGUAACUAUGCAUAGUACACUGUACAUACAGUAACUAUGUAUAGUACACUGUACAUACAGUAACUAUGUAUAGUACACUGUACAUACAGUAACUAUGUAUAGUACACUGUACAUACAGUAACUAUGUAUAGUACACUGUACAUACAGUAACUAUGUAUAGUACACUGUACAUACAGUAACUAUGUAUAGUACACUGUACAUACAGUAACUAUGUAUAGUACACUGUACAUACAGUAACUAUGCAUAGUACACUGUACAUACAGUAACUAUGCAUAGUACACUCUACAUACAGUAACUAUGUAUAGUACACUGUACAUACAGUAACUAUGCAUAGUACACUGUACAUACAGUGUAAAAAAGAUUCAGUAUAAAAUAAUUUAAGUGUAAAAAAUGUUGUAAAACAAUUCAGUGUAACAAAAAUUCAGUGCAAAAAAAUGAGUAAAAAGAUUUUGGUUUAAAAAAAUUCAGUGCAAAAAAAUUGUGUCAAAAGAUUUUGGUGUGAGUAAGAUUCAGUUUAAAAUAAUUUAAUUGUAAAAAAUAAUGUAAAACUAUUCAGUGUGAAAGAAUUCACUGUAAAAAGAAUUGUGUAAUAAAAAUUUUGUGUAAAAAAAAAUUCAGUGCAAAAAAAGUUGAAAAGAUUUUGGUGUAAAAAAGAUUCAAUGUAAAAUAAUUUAACAGUAAAAAAAAAUGUGAAAAAAAUUGUCAGUGUAAAAAAAUUCAGUGCAAAUAAAAUGAUUGUAAAAAGAUUUUGGUUUAAAAAAGAUUUAGUGUUAAAAAAAUUCAGUGCAAUAAAAUGUGUGUAAAAAGAUUUUGUUGUGAGUAAGUUUCAGUGUAAAAUAAAAUAAUGUAAAACAAUUCCGUGUGAAAGAACUCACUGUAAAAAGAUUUUAGUGC